AUUUGCGCCGAAGGUAUACCGGUAAGGAGUGCUGGAGCGAAUAGAAGUGAGCAUGCAGGCAUGAGUAGCGAUAAUUAAUGUGAGAAUCAUUAACGCCGUAAACCCAAGGUUUCCUACGCGAUGCUCGUCAUCGUAGGGUUAGUCGGGUCCUAAGUCGAGUCCGAAAGGGGUAGACGAUGGCAAAUUGGUUAAUAUUCCAAUACCAACAUUAGUGUGCGAUGGAAGGACGCUUAGGGCUAAGGGGGCUAGCGGAUGGAAGUGCUAGUCUAAGGUCGUAGGAGGUUAUACAGGCAAAUCCGUAUAACAAUACUCCGAGAACUGAAAGGCUUUUUGAAGUCUUCGGAUGGAUAGAAGAACCCCUGAUGCCGUCGAGCCAAGAAAAGUUUCUAAGUUUAGCUAAUGUUGCCCGUACCGUAAACCGACACAGGUGGGUGGGAUGAGUAUUCUAAGGCGCGUGGAAGAACUCUCUUUAAGGAACUCUGCAAAAUAGCACCGUAUCUUCGGUAUAAGGUGUGGUUC
rnacentral:rRNA from 1 species